UUGACGGGGAGCACCACAACGGGUGGAGCUUGCGGUUUAAUUGGAUUCAACGCCGGAAAUCUUACCGGGACCGACAGCAAUAUGAAGGCCAGGCUGAAGACUUUGCCGGAUUAGCUGAGAGGUGGUGCAUGGCCGUCGUCAGUUCGUACUGUGAAGCAUCCUGUUAAGUCAGGCAACGAGCGAGACCCACGCCCACAGUUGCCAGCGUACUCUCUGGAGUGACGGGUACACUGUGGGGACCGCCGCUGCUAAAGCGGAGGAAGGAAUGGGCAACGGUAGGUCAGUAUGCCCCGAAUAUCCCGGGCUACACGCGAGCUACAAUGGUUGGUACAAUGGGGUAUCUACCCCGAAAGGGGACGGGAAUCUCCUAAAACCAAUCUUAGUUCGGAUUGAGGGCUGCAACUCGCCCUCAUGAAGCUGGAAUCCGUAGUAAUCGCGUUUCAACAGAACGCGGUGAAUACGUCCCUGCUCCUU
rnacentral:rRNA from 1 species